GACGAACGCUGGCGGCGUGCUUAACACAUGCAAGUCGAACGGAAAGGCCUGCUUUCCCUUGUGGAUUGCGGGUACUCGAGUGGCGAACGGGUGAGUAACACGUGAGUGAUCUGCCCCCAACUUGGGUAUAAGCCUGGGAAACUGGGUCUAAUUCCCGAUAGGACUGCAGGGUGGUGCUUGUGGUGGAAAACGAUUUUCUAGUGGUUGGGGAUGAGCUCGCGGCCUAUCAGCUUGUUGGUGGGGUAAGGGCCUACCAAGGCGGCGACGGGUAGCCGGCCUGGGAGGGUGGACUGCCACGUUGGGACUGCGAUACGGCCCAGACUCCGACGGGAGGCAGCAGUGGGGAAUAGUGCACAAGGGGCGGAAGCCUGAGGCAGCGACGCCGCGUGGGGGAGGACGGCCUUCGGGGUGGAAACUCUUUCGACCGCUAGGAAGCCACCUGGUUGGAAGGGUGGUGACGGUAGUGGUAGAAGAAGCACCGGCUAACUACGUG
rnacentral:rRNA from 1 species